rnacentral:rRNA from 1 species
CACGUAGGCACCAAGCGUUGUCCGGAUUUAUUGGGCGUAAAGAGCUCGUAGGCGGUUCGGUAAGUCGGGUGUGAAAACUCUGGGCUCAACCCAGAGCCGCCACCCGAUACUGCUGUGACUCGAGUGCGGUAGGGGAGCGGGGAAUUCCUGGUGUAGCGGUGAAAUGCGCAGAUAUCAGGAGGAACACCAGUGGCGAAGGCGCCGCUCUGGGCCGUGACUGACGCUGAGGUGCGAAAGCGUGGGGAGCAAACAGG